GUUUCGGUGGUCUAGUGGUUAUGAUUUUCGCCUCACAGAGUCCUCGCGAAAGGUCCCCGGUUCGACCCCGGGCCGAAACA
rnacentral:tRNA from 1 species